UACGUAGGCAGCGAGCGUUGUUCGGAGUUACUGGGCGUAAAGAGUGCGUAGGCGGUUUUCUAAGUUUGGUGUGAAAUCUCCCGGCUUAACUGGGAGGGUGCGCCGAAAACUGGAAGGCUUGAGUAUGGGAGAGGUAAGCGGAAUUCCUGGUGUAGCGGUGAAAUGCGUAGAUAUCAGGAGGAACACCUGCGGUGUAGACGGCUUUUACUGGACCAUAACUGACGCUGAGGCACGAAAGCGUGGGGUAGCAAACAGG
rnacentral:rRNA from 1 species